UUUCCCAUGGAGUCCUACAAAGAAAGAGAAGGAAUAUGCAAGGGCACCACAUAAUCAAUCACAAAACAUGGGAAUGUUAGACAAGUAGUGGCAAGGCAAGACCUCAAACACAACCACUCGGGUUUAGUCGUGUAACAACAACUAGAGUGCCAUUUUUAGAUGGUCAUGAUCAUGGCUAAUAGAUGUUUACGGCUCAAUGGAUUGGGAGUACUUGAUGAAGAUAAUGAAAUUUUUUGCCUUGAUGGAGAAAUUGGAUUACGGAUUGUGAUAGUUCAGCCAAUGUCUCGUUGCUUGUUAUCGAGAUUCCUACUUAGGAAUUCCCCAUUCGGAGAGGCUUGCGGAAAAUAUUCUAGAUAGGUUGACUUGGAGAAAUGUCUAGGGGAUAAGUUCUAAGUUAAAGGAGCUUAUCAAUUGUUGAUGUCAGAUUCGAUGAGUGAAAGUCUCAUUUGUGUGAUUUUGUAUGGAAUAAAAUUGUUCCAGUGAACGACUCUCUCUUUGUUUGGAGGUUAUUACAAGGCAGACUCCCAAGAAAUGAUAAUCUAUUACAUAUCAGAGCAACUUUUACAGAUUUACUUUGUGCAAGUGGAUGCAGUUUACUUGAAACUUUUCAACGCUUAUUUGUUGGGUGUGGAUAUUUUGGUAAUAUUUGUAAGUUGGUCUUGGUUUGGAUGGGUAUUAGCAGUGUUUUGUAAAAUAAUGUAAUGGAACAUGUUCAACCUUUCAGUGGUUUAUGUUUGUUUCUUAAAAGACUUAGCAACAUUUUGCAUGUAGUUUGGGUGACUUGCAUUGGGGUUUUUGGAAAGCUUGAAAUGCUAUUAUCUUUCAAUGAAAGGAGCAUGACUUAAGGUAUAUUGUAGAAUAUAUCAAAUUAUGGUCUUGAUGGUGGCUCAGAAUAAAUGUCAAAGGAUUCAAGUUUGAGUUUCAUCAUUGGUGGACAUACCCUAUUAUGUGCAUGAGAUCUUUGACUUAAUUGAAUUUUUUUUCUUCCUUUUA